rnacentral:rRNA from 1 species
AGUGAACGCUGGCGGCGUGCCUAAUACAUGCAAGUCGAACGGAGAUUAAGUAGCUUGCUAUUUAAUCUUAGUGGCGCACGGGUGAGUAAUAUAUAGCUAACUUGCCCAUUACUAAGGGACAACAGUUGGAAACGACUGCUAAUACCUUAUACUCCGUAUCUAUAUAAGUAGAUACGGGAACGUUUUUCGGUAAUGGAUAGGGCUAUAUCGUAUCAGCUAGUUGGUAAGGUAAUGGCUUACCAAGGCUAUGACGCGGAACUGGUCUGAGAGGAUGAUCAGUCACACUGGAACUGAGACACGGUCCAGACGCCUACGGGAGGCAGCAGUAGGGAAUAUUGCUCAAUGGGGGAAACCCUGAAGCAGCAACGCCGCGUGGAGGAUGACACUUUUCGGAGCGUAAACUCCUUUUCUUGGGAAAGAAUUAUGACGGUACCCAAGGAAUAAGCACCGGCUAACUCCGUG